UUCGCAAUGCCCGAAAGGGUGACGAUGCGACGCCGCGUGAGCGAAGAAGGCCCUAGGGUUGUAAAGCUCUGUCGAGGGUUAUGAAAUAUAGAUGGGUUAAUACCCCAUUUAUUUGACAAAAGCCCAAAAGGAAGCCACGGCUAACUCUGUGCCAGCAGCCGCGGUAAUACAGAGGUGGCGAGCGUUGUUCGGUAUUAUUGGGCGUAAAGAGCACGUAGGUGGUUCUGUAAGUCAGAUGUGAAAGCCUUCUGUUCAAAGGAAGAACGGCAUCUGAAACUGCAGAUCUUGAGUGUAGGAGAGGAGAGUGGAACUUCUGGUGGAGCGGUGAAAUGCGUAGAUAUCAGAAGGAACGUCGGCGGCGAAAGCGACUCUCUGGCCUAUUACUGACACUGAGUGUGCGAAAGUUAGGGGAGCAAACGGGAUUAGAUACCCCGGUAGUCCUAACCGUAAACGAUGGGCACUAAGUAGAGGGGUUUU
rnacentral:rRNA from 1 species